rnacentral:lncRNA from 1 species
AUGGUUGGUUGGAGAAGAAAACUUCAGAUUCCACGAGAAAACUUCCAGAGGAGCCCGUCGACUUUUUCCCGUGAUAAACCUCCUUUUGGUUAUCUACAGAGCAGAAAGAACAGGUCAGCGUGUGAGUGCAUUGGAGAGGAAGCUCUACAUCAGACUGCUCGUUGGUCGGUUGCCAGCAUGAGUCUUGGGCUGCCGUUGAGCUCUGGCUGUGAUGAAAAGUCCGAGACAUCCCUGAUAAUGUUAGUGAAAGAAGAGGAAUAUGGACACGUUAUUAGACGUCAAGAUGACGAGGAAAAGCUCAUUGCAGAUUUUCACUGUAAAACUGAAACGGAGUCACUAAGCACCAGUUACAGUGAAUUACUGCAGACUACAGUUGAGAUGAAGAAAGAAGAGGAUGAGCAAGAACACCAGGACUGUGAUUCUCCUCAGGAAAUGGCUGGACCCUCAGUAGUAUUGCUGCAGCCACCCCCCAAUGUGUUGGUCGGAGGAGAGGAGCCCACUGAUGAGGCCAGUCCAGACGAUGAGGAGACUGUGUCGGCGUUCUCCGGUGAUGUGGCAAAUCCUGCUGGACCACGGCCUGAUCCGCCUGAGCCUGGCCCCUCUCACUCUGCUGGAACUGGGGAUGGGGAGGCUGACCAUGAAGAUGUGCGGACGCUGUACAAGCGGUACUUGCGCGCGAAAAUUACCAAACUCCACUGGAGCUCAGUGAAGCUUCAGUUAGAGGUUCAACUGCUUCAACGGCAGCUGGAUGCUGACCAAUAGAGUACAAAUAAAGGCUUUAUUCUAC